AAAAACUCCAUUCUCUCCCGGGUGCAUGUAUUCACUUAACGCCAGUACUUCCUUUAAAACACUGAAGAAAGCACUCACUCUCACCACUUCCCUUGUUUCAGAUCAGAGACCGAUUAUUAUGGGUCGAUACACUGAAGAUUUCGAGGAGAAAGAGCUGUUGGGAAGAAAGGUGGAUUCGCAAUUGUUUAUCAAUGCAAGCAUAGACUUGACGAGUCUUUGUAUGCUGUGAAGAAGAUACCUUUUAAUGAUCAGCAGCUUCAGGAAAAAUUAAGGGAGGUGAAAAUACUUGCAGCUGUACAACAUCCUAGGGUUGUACGCUAUUAUCAGAAACUCUGAAUUUUAGUUACAAGCACCGUCAACCUAAAAAGGUUAGUUAUGCUAUUUUACUUAACGCAAUCAAUUUGCAUAAACCAUUAUUUUGUACAUGAUUGAUAAAAGCUAGUAUUAUUUUGUAUCUGUCAUUAGUAUGAGUGAAGUGUUCUUUGUGUCAAUUGUUAAGUUAUUUGUGCUCUUGGCGUUAAUAAUUUCAUGAUAUAAUUUAUGUUGUUUGUGUUUACUUUGCUGUGCACACUUUGAAUGAGGAAGCUCUGCUUUUCGUUGUCUCUAUUUGGGAUCUGGUGUUAGAAAAAAAAACAGUGAAACAAAAGCCUUUCUGAUAAAUUUGUCAAUCAAUGUAGCUGUUGAACUUAGCUUUAUUAAGGUAAAAGUAUCAAUAUUCUGAAAACAGAAGUUAUGAAAUGAAACUAAGAUGACUUGAGACUUACAGACUUCGUCUUUUUGAACAUUCUAUUAUUAAUGAUAAAGCGAUACCUGCAUCGUCCUUCUAAAGUCAUAAGAGACUCAUCUUCCCUCUUGAAAGAGGUUUAAAGUACCACUUCUAUUCUCGACAUAGUCUAUAACACGAUGAUUAAUUGUGAUUGUGUGCACAAUUGCCUACGCUUCUGCCUCUGUUCAGCUCUGCUAAUUGACUUAAUUAGACAAGUUCUUCAAAUAAGAGCUUAAAUUACAAUGCAAAAAUAAAUACCCACUAUUGUUAAUCUACUUGAGUACACCCGCUGAUAGCUGAAAAUUGAAUAGUCGCAUAAGUGACUACUGUACUGUCCUAAAUCCAGGGCAACCUACCCACUUCGUUCUUGGACAUAUGGAUGUACUCCUCCAUCGCCUUUAUAAGGCAACAUCAUUAGUAGCAAGGUCCAAUAGAAAUUGUUUCUCCUUUUCUCCGGUAACUAGGUUAUGAAAAUGAUAUAGACUGAGUACUUUUAGUAGUUGGAAUAGGUUCAGUUAGUAAUUUUUAGUUUUGUUUUAUGUUUAAAGGGUAAACUAUUUCUUUGUUCCUUUUCUGUUUACCAAACUGAACUAGACUUUCCUUUUUCAUUCACCUUGUAAUUUUUCUAAUAACCUGCUCAAAUGAUUAGACUUGUCCAAAUUAGAGCCUUACCCAUGUUUGAAGUUUUAUAUUUCCUUGAGACAAGUUGGGAAUAUUUGUUGUACUACCAUUUAAGAAUUUUGAUAUGCUUGAUGUGUUUCUUUAACUAUUAGUCUGAUUGGCAGUUUGAGAUUCAGGUUAUGAUUGCGGGAACAUCGUUCAUUCACAACAAAUGCAACAGUUGAAUUUUGUUUUGCUGUAGAAUUUUUGUGGUAUCACUAUCAGUAUAGUGUAGAUAAUGAAGGACAAUCAUGAUUCAACUUUAUGGUGACAGAUUAAUUUGUGAGAAUGAGAUCCUAAUCGGUUUGAUAUUACGCCAUCCAAUUGCUAUAUGAAUUCCCUUUCUACCAUGACUGCAAACCACUUGUCCUUCCAAAACUUGAUAUGUUGACCAUUCCCUUCUACAAAGUGUUUGUUCACUGAGAAUUCUUCCCGUAGCUUACAAAUGUUCUUCCAGACACCAACUCCAUUGGGUGCUCUUGAUAAUUUAGUGCAAAAAUGAUUCAGGACUCCAUGUUUGGCAUUGACAACUUCCUUCCAAAGACAUUGCUCAUCCUGUGUGUACCUGAUAUGAACAUUAAUAUAAUAUAUUUUUAGUAGGUGCUAGUUUAAAUAUGUAUUCUCUGUUUGCUAAAUCCAAAUGCUAGUGUAGUAACCUGUGAGCAACUUAACUGGGUCGAGUAUUUCCUUAUCUUCCCUGCUAGAUUUCUUCCACCUCUAAAUUUGGAGUUGUGCAAUCUUUGUGAGCUUGUCAUGCUUUAGUCUCUUCAUUCACUGUGCCCAUGUGUUUCAUGUCAUUUAAAUGUCUUGAUAUGCCCCUGUAAAAACUGUUCCUGAAUGUGUUGUAUUCUACUAGUGUUAAUUGUGUAAGAGUGCUCAUAUAACUAAAGCAAUACCCUUUGGUUUGAAGUUAGUGUCAGUACUACAGUGCAGGUGGAACGCAGGAGGUAGGAGUGUUCAUGUUAGGCUCUUAGUUUCUUAGAGGAAAACUAAAGGAAGUACUGAAUAGAGGUUGAGUAUCAUACCAUUGGAAUUCUUGUCAAAUAUUGAAAGCAAAAGGAUCAGCACUAAUAAUGAUUAACAGUUCUUGAACUCCUGGAUCUUGAGUAACUGACUGAAAAAACUCUUGGGCCUUGUAUUUGAAACAUAUACAAUGUGCUGGGACUGACCGAUCCUAAAAGUUGUUUAUCUUUCCCUUUUAACACAAUGAUUCUCAAUUUUAACAUGCAAUUCCAAAACUUGAAGCAAAAAGAUCUUACUAUUACUCAAUACUUACAUAAGGCUAACAUCCAUAUGAUGUAUUAGACAGUAAAUACGCACAGCUUGCAAUUGCAGUAUUUGAUCUGCCUUCAUCACCAUCUUCAAUUGAGCAGCAGAUUGAAUCAUUUAACAGAUCAAACAUUUGAAGUCCGAAGACCUAUCCUUGAUGAAAGUGUAGAGCAAGUUGAAGUACAAGAGGUUUAUGUUUUGUUAGAGAUGGUUUAAAGACACUGUACAUAUGCUGCAAUUUUAUGUCUCUUUUAGGAAUUAUUAAAAAUGAUGUCAUACGAUUCAGAUUGGUUUAUGUUAAAUAUGAUACUUUAGUUCUUUGUAUUAACAAAGAUAUCAAGUAUUUGGUUUAUUUUCAA